AGAAGAACCAGGCUGCAGCCCAUUGUGAGGCUGCAAGGAUGGGUUUGUGCGAGGGAACACGGGUGGCAGGGAAAAGGCUCAGGCUUGCUUAUGGCCUGCGAUCACCAGAGUCAGUGCUCAGUGUACCAGCACAAUCAGUGGGUGCAUUACUCACAGACAGCACUUGCAUGCAGGUAUGCCAAGAGGGAUCCCAGCUUGCAAGAUGUGAGAAGACUUCCUCUCCCCAAGGAGUGGGAUGUGAACAGCCACCUUCAGACUCUGGCUUUGGAUAUGUAGCACCAAGAAACUCCUUAGGAAUCCUUUCCUUUCGAAUGGUCUGGUGAACAUGCUCUUUGUAUCCUGACAGAUAAGAUUCUGAAGAAAAAGCCUGACUCCAGUCAUAUACUCUUUGAAAAGGAUGACCAGUACUUCAAUGUAUGCCACAAACUGACAACACUUAAAACUUUUGUUCUUCUGUUAAUAUUUGUUUUUAUUAUUAUUUUAAGGAAUCUUACUGCUGGUUGGUAUUCCUUGGGACAUGAAAUUAAUCCUUUGUUUAAUUCCUGGAAUUAAUUCCCAGCAAAGCUAAGUUAUUCAAAUGCACUGUUGCAGUCUGUAGUUUUUAGGCUAGAUUCGAGAUUUCUGACUAUUUAGGCUUGCUAACUUUGCACCUUUUUAAAGAACACUUCGUUUUAUGAUAUAGAACAAUCAGAUUGCAGAAUAUCUAUUUUCUUUGUUCCUUGCUUUGUAAUUUCCCUGUGGUAUGCCUUGAAAUCUAAGUUAACUUGUUAUUAGAAUAAAGAUAAUAUUUGGAGGCCUGUACA
rnacentral:lncRNA from 1 species